rnacentral:rRNA from 1 species
GACGAACGCUGGCGGCGCGCGUUAAUACAUGCAAGUCGAGCGAGAAGCUCGGUGCUUGCACCCGGGUGGACAGUGGCGAACGGGUGAGUAACACGUGAGUAACCUGCCCCGGAGACCGGAAUAACCCGAGGAAACUCGGACUAAUACCGGAUGCCUUCACCGGACCGCAUGAUCUGGUGAAGAAAUGGUCCGCCGCUCCGGGAUGGACUCGCGGCCUAUCAGCUUGUUGGUGAGGUAACGGCUCACCAAGGCGACGACGGGUAGCUGGUCUGAGAGGACGAUCAGCCACACUGGGACUGAGACACGGCCCAGACUCCUACGGGAGGCAGCAGUAGGGAAUCUUGCGCAAUCGGGGGGAAAACCCUGACGCAGCGACGCCGCGUGCGGGAUGAAGGCCCUAGGGUUGUAAACCGCUUUCAGCAGGGACGAAAUUGACGGUACCUGCAGAAGAAGGCCCGGCCAACUACGUG